rnacentral:rRNA from 1 species
UACAAGGUUAAUAGGCCGGAUGUGUAAGAGAAGCAAUUCUUUCAGCUGACCGGUACUAAUAGGUCGUUCGUCUUUUUUUA